rnacentral:lncRNA from 1 species
CUGAAGGUCAGAAACUUGGGCAUUGCCUAUGUGACUACUGACCAUGCUUCUCUUGUGGGAGCUGUGGGGAGUGGGCGGUAACUUAGGCAGGGGCCAGAGUUCCAGGAGCAUGAGGGAAUGCCUACCGUGUCAUGAAGGUGAAUUAUGACUAUCGGGGUUCAGACCUUAGCUCAACUGGAGACCAGCCUGCAAUUCCCCACAACAAGUCUUGCAAAAGGUGUCAAGAGGGUGUGAGAAAGUCACGUUCUCAAGAAGCAGACGAGUACAUAUUCCUUUUUGGAAAUGAGAAGAAGUGGAAACUGUUCUGGUUAUUGGUCGGCCUUCUGGAGUGCUUCUCCCUCCUUGAAGUCCAUGAUGAGCACAGGCAAGUCCAUGAGCUCCUGGACCACCACACCCCCCUAGCAGAGGACGGUGGAUGUUUUACAUUUAAGC